AAUCAACGCUGGCGGCGUGCCUCAGACAUGCAAGUCGAACGCGAAAGUUCCCUUCGGGGGAUGAGUAGAGUGGCGCACGGGUGAGUAACACGUAGGUAAUCUACCUUCGGAUGGGGAAUAACAACCGGAAACGGUUGCUAAUACCGCAUAAUGCAGCGGCACCUAAUGGUGACAGUUAGUUAAAGGCGGGGGAUACGAAAGACCUCGCGUCUGAAGAGGAGCCUGCGGCGGAUUAGCAGUUGGUAGGGUAACGGCCUACCAAGGCUACGAUCCGUA
rnacentral:rRNA from 1 species